rnacentral:rRNA from 1 species
CAGUCGCCGCGGUAAGACAGAGGACGCAAGCGUUAUCCGGAAUGAUUGGGCGUAAAGCGUCUGUAGGUGGCUUUUCAAGUCCGCCGUCAAAUCCUAGGGCUCAACCCUGGACAGGCGGUGGAAACUACCAAGCUGGAGUAUGGUAGGGGCAGAGGGAAUUUCCAGUGGAGUGGUGAAAUGCGUUGAGAUCGAAAAGAACACCAACGAUGAAAGCACUCUGCUGGGCCGACACUGACACUGAGAGACGAAAGCUAGGGGAGCAAAUGGGAUUAGAGACCCCAGUAGUCCCUGUCUCUUAUAC